UCGAUCGAGUAGCAAUACUAGAGGCGAACGGGUGAGUAACACGUAUCCAACCUUCCCUUUUGACUGGGAUAACUAAAAGAAAUUUUAGCUAAUACCGGAUGAUAUAUUUAGACGCAUGUCUUUAUAUUAAAAGUUGGGUUUCCAACACAUUAGGAUGGGGAUGCGCCACAUUAGCUAGUUGGUAGGGUAACGGCCUACCAAGGCGACGAUGUGUAGCUAUACUGAGAGGUAGAAUAGCCACAAUGGAACUGAAACACGGUCCAUACUCCUACGGGAGGCAGCAGUAGGGAAUUUUCCACAAUGGGGGCAACCCUGAUGGAGCAACGCCGCGUGAACGAUGAAGGUCUUCGGAUUGUAAAGUUCUUUUAUAAGGGAAGAAUACUAAAAGAAGGAAAUGUUUUUUAGUUGACGGUACUUUAUGAAUAAGUGACGGCAAACUAUGUGCCAGCAGCCGCGGUAAUACAUAGGUCACAAGCGUUAUCCGGAUUUAUUGGGUAUAAAACAAGCGCAGGCUGUCUAACAAGUUUAAAGUGAAAUAACAAGGCUCAACCUUGUUCUGCUUUAAAAACUGUUAGGCUAGAGUAUAUAAGAGAAUG
rnacentral:rRNA from 1 species